UCUGUUGUGCAUAUAUUCACU
rnacentral:piRNA from 1 species